UACGUAGGGGGCAAGCGUUGUCCGGAAUCAUUGGGCGUAAAGAGCGUGUAGGCGGCCCGGUAAGUCCGCUGUGAAAGUCGGGGGCUCAACCCUCGAAUGCCGGCGGAUACUGUCGGGCUAGAGUCCGGAAGAGGCGAGUGGAAUUCCUGGUGUAGCGGUGAAAUGCGCAGAUAUCAGGAGGAACACCGGUGGCGAAGGCGGGUCUCUGGGCAACAACUGACGCUGAGGAGCGAAAGCGUGGGGAGCGAACAGG
rnacentral:rRNA from 1 species